rnacentral:lncRNA from 1 species
UCCUCGUAGACCACGUAGGCGGUGCCUCGCGUGUCCUUGCCGUUGCCCAACCGGAUCUGCCGGAUGGCGCCGUACUUGCCGAAGAUGUCGUACAUCUCCUCGCUCGAGAUGUUGAACGGCAGGUUCCGCACGAACAGUGCCCGGUUCACCUCCGGGGGCAGCCGCGCGUUCCCCUUCCGCAGACUAGCCGCCGCCAUCGCCGGGAUUUCGUCUAGGGUUUCGGGGCUUGGUGUUCCGACGAAUCGAAUUGGGAGUCGUUUGCUUCCUUCUAACCGUAGCCCCCUCACGAAAGUCCGAUGGGCACGCGCGGCGUGGUCGGGCUCGAAUCGGCCCAUUCGGGCUGUUUCGGCUCGCUCGGCCUUAAGAAAAAACAAUUAAAAAUGAAAAAAAUAUAUAAAAAAUCGAGACAAAGUGGAGUAGAGGGCAAAUGUCACAUGGGGUAAAUAGUGAGCUCUGUUAAGCCUGACUCAUUAAAUACUUCUAGGUAAACUCUCCUUUGAAAUAUGGCCUCGUAUAAGGAAGAAUACAAGCUAGGUCACAAAGAAAAAAAAGAAAGAAAAUUGUAAAAUAAUAAUAAAGUUACAAAGAUUAUAACUAUUCUUGUUCAGUCUCGUAUAGAUAAGCAUCGCUAGUGUGUUGAGCUCUGAGUUUGGUACCUCCGUAUUCUUCACAGUCAUCCAUGUGCUCAGGUAAGAUACGCGUUCUCUCUUCAAGUAUUCUUCCAGGUAGACUGAAAGCAUAAUCUUGUGAUGUUGUGGUCAACAAAUCCUAGUCAGACUGACUUUGCUGCGGAUUCCAUCGCAUCGGACGCAGAGGCAUUCAUUUUCUCACAAUCAUCUGACUCCGCACCCUUGAUUUGCUAUGGGAUAUGACCUAAAAAAAGGCAUUUACCUCUGGGUGCCAUGCUUCCUUCAAAGAGCUUCUUCUUCCUCCCCCCCCCCCCCCCCCCCCGAAGAUGGGCAUAAUCAUAUUCAUUUCAUUUUCUGGUGAGCUCUUUGCCUAUCGACUACGCUUCCAAAUAUCUUUCUUAUGAUAAUAAUCAAGAAGGUAGCGUACUCACUCUUAUAGUAUAAGCUUGUACAAGUAAGCCGGUAUUAAACUACUCUUAUUAAGCAAGCCGGUAAAGACCUAAUCUUAGGCAGAAAAGCUGGCAAAGACCUACUCUUAGGCAUCCAUAGUAGGUAUUGUCAAUUUCUUCUUCUUUUUUCUAAUAUCCUCAACCACAUGGCCAGAGAAGGGAAGUAAGGAAGAGUAUAAGUCAAGUAUUCUUCCAGCUAGACUGAAAGCAGAAUCUGGUGAUGUUGUUGAGCAGGUGUUGUAAACACAUCUGAUGCUAAUAUGGAAAGCACUGAAUGUGUAAGUUUGUGGUCAUGUAUGUCACUACUUCAAUAUGUUGAAUUCAUCCUUGGUUUCCUCAAAUCUUACAAUUGGGACCUCAUGUAAGUCUCCAACUCCUCGUCUCCUCAACUUGAAUGUAUGUCGACCACUGAUGAUGACGAGCUCGAGGAAGAGCUGGCCGAGAAUAUCUUGCCCCAUGUUGUUUUCUUUCCUACAACUGGUUGUAAUGCACUCCGAUGCUAUCGAACUUUGACAUACUUUUGAUUGUACCAAUUGAUGAGUAAGUGGUUGCACUAGUGGAACCGAUGGAAUGGGAAGGAGGAGGCAUCUCUUGUGUUUGUGGAAUAUCGGGAUGAGUGGGAGUGAAUUGGUAGCCGACGAUAUAUAUCCUCAAAUCCCCUGAAAAGGAAUUGGUUAUUUGGAUUACCUCAUCUGGGGAUACUAGUUGUACUUGCCCGUGCCAGGAUCCAUGCCGUACUGUGCCAUAUAGUUGUUCCUGUAAAUAGAUUUCAUCUACAUAAAAAAUCGGACAAUCAUGUAUCACCAAAGGUGCAUACUACUAUUUUCAAGGUAAAACCCAAAUUUAGUAUCCAUGAUCUUGCAAUCAAAUAUCGCUGCAGAUGCAUACCACAAUUUACUGGAUCAGUGAUACCGCCAAAAUACAUCAACCUAUUUAAGUAUCCACCGCGAACACAACCUACUGAAGAUAAAAAACUACACAACUAACUAAGUAAUAAUUCUGGAUUUUCCCAGUACAGAGCACUCUGCUUAGGAAACGACUCAGUUAGUAAGUUACAUGUCGGCGGACGAAGGGGUCUUGGAGCCGAUGCCGUAAGUCUCCCGGAGCCUGGCGAUCUCGUCCUUCUUCUGCUUGAUGUUUGUCUUCUUGGACUGCUUGGCGGGCUGGUGGUAGAUCACGAUGAGGUAGCGGUUGGCAACGUUGAAGCCCGUGAGGUGGUCGAGGACGUUCUUGGCGUCGUAGAUGUCCUCGUAGACCACGUAGGCGGGGCGCGCGUGUCCUUACCGUUCCCCAGCCGGAUCUGCCGGAUGGCGCCGUACUUGCCGAAGAUGUCGUACAUCUCCUCGCUCGAGAUGUUGAACGGCAGGUUCCGCACGAACAACGCCCUGUUCACCUCCGGGGGCAGCCGCGCGUUCCCCUUCCGCAGACUUGCCGCCGCCAUCGCCAGGAUUUCGCCUUAGGUUUCGGGGCUUUGG